ACAAAAUCAUUGGUUUUUAUUUCUUCACCUGAAACCCAAAAUGGCUGCGGCUUGAGAGAGGAUGGAAGGAACUACUGAGUUCAGAUUCGAUGGAAGAUGAGAGUGUGAGAUGCAGAAAUCAGAGGAUCGAUGAAGAAAUUGAUGGGGGUUUUGAAUCUGUUGCAGUCAAGAACAAGAUGAAGAGGAAGUUAGGGUUUUGUUGAAGAUGAUCGAUUUUAGAAUCUGGUGAUGUUAAUUAUUGAUUCAAGGGUUGAUAAACCUUGGGUGUGUGCUUAAUCUCAAGAAUUUGUGCUGUAAUUGAUUCUUAAACAACACAGAUAAAAGAUUGAAGAUGUUGUUGCAUUCAGAUGGGGUUUUGAGUUUGUGUUCAACUGGGAAUGGAGAGAAUUUAGUGGUGUUUGAGACCAGAAACAGGGAGGAAAUUGAGCUGUUGAACUCGCGGAUUUUGUUGGGUAUCUGGAUUAAUCAGUGGCUCAGUUUUAUGAGGAGAUUAUAGCUCAAGUUUACAGGCAGAGUGUGGGUCAAAUUUUGGGCAUAAAUCAGUCGAGAUUGCAGUCGAUCCAACCAUGGGUUUGAUGGGUUUCAUGGAGGUCAGAUCGAGUCCGUCAUCAGCUCAACUAGCCGCUGUGAGCAAUAGGUAACAACCACAUCCAAGGAUCGGUCAUAAGAUGUUAAUUAAACGAGUUCUGGUAGUUUUGAGCUCGCAUUUGGGACUGAGAAUGAGUUGUUUAGUAGCUGAGUUCAUAUGGGUUUUCUUGGUUUGAAUAGAGGAGAUAUGGGUUCGAUUUGAAGCUGGUUUUUAUGGUUUUCUCUCCUGCCAUCCAGUCACAGGAAAUGUUGCUGCUACAAUGAAACUGCUAAGUGUAUUUCGCAGGAGUAGAGAGCAAUCAACACAUACAAGUAAUGGCAUUGCAGGUGGUAAUGGAUCUGGAGAUUGUUACAAGACAGUGCAGGUUAGGAGUCGAGAUGGACUGAAAUGACAAAGGUUCUGGUGGAGUUGCUGGUGCAGAAUGGAUGCUCGUACAACUGAACGAUGUUAUUACGGGGUGUAUGGAACUGUUUAGAUGAAUGUCUAGGGCAGGUACAGCAGUUUCAGGUGCAGGUUGAGAAUGUAAAGAAGAGAUGGAAGCAAACCAUUACUCUGGUGGUGUCAAAUGGAAUCGCUAAGGAAGGACUGAGGAUGAUGUCUGAUGUUGGUGGUGUUUCAAGAGUUUGUGAUUCUGUGAAUGAAGAUGAAUCUGGCAGUUUGACAGAUUUGUAUGGAACCCAAAUGGAUGCAGUAGCUUUUGUAGUUAAUGAUGGAGCUGUUGCUGUUGAGCAAUUGCAGGAGGGAGUUAUUUGGUGGUGGACAAGACUGAGAUAGAUACUUUGUUGGUGCUGUGAAGCUGAGAUUGAAAUGACAGUGGUUAGAAUUGCAGGAUACUGCCUGGUGAAAUGCCAUUGCGGAUGGAGUUCAGUCUGUGAUGCACCAACAUGGUACAACAUUGAGUGUAGCCGUGCAAGAUAGCAACUCUGGCCUAGACCAUAGUGAAUCAGACUGAGCCAGACCUGACUCAUCUGAUUAGCCAUCUGACCCAUUGACUCGGUGUGAAUCAGUUGACUUCCCGAGUUGACUCGUUUGCUUCAUUUGACCGGUGGCCGGGUGGACCUUGCCGGUCACCAGAGAUAUGUUCCGACUACUUUUCCGGUCAACUUAUAAUUAUACUCGCGAUUAUGAAAAAAUUAGGUCUAAAUUUGCAAUCCAAUUUCUGAUUCUUUUUGAGUUCAGGAUUUUAAAACUCUAUCAAAUUUUUGAUUCGGUUUAAAAUCAGAGUUUAGAUUUGUUAUCGUCUCAUAUCAAUUUUCAGUUGAAGAUAAAAUUUCGAAAAAAUUUUGGAGAAAAAUUUAUGCCAAAUUUUUCAUAUUUCCCAAUUUGCAGUCCAGAUAGGAAUUUGUUUAUUCACUCAUAAUGAUGGAAGGAUUUAUUAAAUCCAGAAAUUUCAAAAUAUAUUCAUUGGAGCUGAACCAGUCAUAAACAUGAUCAAAAAAGCUUAUUUGCUAGAUAAGUAUUCAUUGAUCUUUACUUAUAUUUCAUGAAUCCUUUUAUAGAAUGCACACUUUUGGGUCUCAAUCUUACAGACCUAAUGCAUAUCAGAGAAUAAAUAUGAAAAAGUAAAAUCAGUUGAUCUUCGUACUAAUGAACCAUGGACUCUGGCGAAAAACCCAUUGGGUGGGUUUAUACAAUUGUCUACCUGUUUUGUAUAUAGUAAAUGCAGUUGGUGCAUCCAUUGAUUUACUUGAAGCGCUUUGGAGCUCCCUUCCAUGCAUACAAACGCUUACUGUCUUAUAAAUAGCGAAAGAGACAUGUAGUGAUCUUCCUUAGCAUUAUUUAUACACCAGGUUGGCUGAGGCAAUAUGUAUGUGCACUAGAACAAACGGUAAAAGAGAUAUCUUUUGAGAUGAAUGUAUCUCAUACUUGUUUGGACAAAUGUUGGUGUUAACAUUAUGGGUUGUGGAAUAUAUUAAAUUUAGUUGUGUUCAGAAUGUUUAUGUGUAGAGGGUCGGAAUUUGUUUAUUUAGAUGAUGAAAAUGCAGUCAACGGAUGAACACAUACUUUUGGUAUCUGAGUGGUCAUUGCUCAUCUUUGAGUUUUAAAGAAAAAGUGCGAUGUUGUUUCUAAGAGUGCAAUUAAAUGCUUGUUUAAGGGAUGCUGUAAGUGAUGACAUGUUGAUUUCAUGUAGGUUGUGUCAGAACAUGAAAGAAGGCGGAAUAAUUCAGUGCUUGUCAAUGCGUUACCAUGUACUUGCACUUGCUAAAGGGAAUUGGACUUGUUGUUUCUCCUCUAAUAGUGUUGUCUGCAGUUCAGAUUGUUUACAUUGGUGUUUUAAGCUCCUUUCGACAGCUUUUGCCAUACACGAGAAACUGUGGAGAUUUGGGAAAUAUCAUGGACAAGUAGCUGGCCGAAAAGACAACGGAACAAAUGAGUUGUUGCUGCUGUCGUUAAAUUGGUGAGGAAUAAGAGUUUGCUGCCCUUAAAUCAAGUUGUUACAUUUGAAUCGUGAAGAUUAUGAGUGGUGAAUGGAUUCUAACCUUAGAGUCGGCUGAUUAAAUUGGCAACCGUUCCCUUGGUAUAAACAUAUGAGUUUUUUUGGGGUUUUCUUUGGGCGCUUCUGUUUGAUUCUGUCUUGACAUUACAGGGGUUGAUGUUGAAUUCCCCGGGAACUUUGACAUUGGAUGUUUAUAUGUGGGAUCAUCUCGGCAGCCCAAUUAGAUGAAACCAAAGAGUGGAGUAACUUAUGCGCGGUUAAUUGCAUCAAGUGAGACAACUACAGUACGUAUCAUUGUAUUUUGGCUAUUUUUCAGUAGCCUGAAUGAAUUGUCUUCUCUUUGAACUAUUUUUUUGGGAGACGAACAUGAGAGGCAUUUGUAUGA